GGAUGUGGGGGCGAUCUGGCUGUGACAUCUGUCACCCCAUUGAUCGCCAGGGGUGAUUCGGCUGAUCUGGCUGGCUAGGCGAGUGUGCCCCUCCUCCCUCACCGAUCCAUGUGCGUCCCUCCCGAAGCUGCGCGCUCGGCCGAAGAGGACGACCUUCCGCCCAGAGGAGAGGACCGGUCUUCGGUCAAGGGUAUAUGAGUAGCUGUGCUCCCCUGCUAGAAAUAAAAUAAAAUAAAAAAAAGACCACAAUGAGAUAGCACCUCACACCCACUAGGAUGGCCGCUAUCACAUGAAACAGAAAAUAAUACCCAUGUUCAUAGCAGCAUUUUUUACAAU
rnacentral:snRNA from 1 species